AGCAACAGACUGUGAUCCAUUCCCAACAACCCCUCCCUACCGUCUGCCACCAGUUCCCUUAAAGCAGGAAUCAGAGCUAGACUGACUCAACUAAGAAUUGUUUUGGAGAACUUGGAACUCAACAUUCCAUAAAACACGCUGAUAACUUUUAUGCUAAGGAAGGAGAAGGCAAAACAAAAGCAUGACAGAAAGUGUAAAGAUUGGACUGCAGGAGAAGAUAUGUGAAUACUUUGAUUAUCCUGUUUGAUAUUGUCUUACUUUUGGGAGAAGAAAAGGAUGAGUAUUAAUAAGUCCAUCUUACA
rnacentral:lncRNA from 10 species